CAAAGGGAGAGGAUAUUAACAUGAAGCUAAAAGAGGAGAGUCUGCAGGAUGAACCUCCAUUCACCAUAGAGCAAGAGUCUUUGGAGAAGGAAGAAUAUCCAGAGGAAGAAGAGUCUCUGGAGGAGGAAGAAUUUCCAGAGGAGGAAGAGUUUCUGGAGGAGGAAGAAUAUCCAGAAGAGGAAGAGUCUCUGGAGGAAGAUAUGUUUUUGGAGGGAGAAAAUUAUCUGAAAGGAAAAGAGGAUCUUUUUAAAGAAGAGGAUUUGAAGGAGAAAAUGCAUGUGGAAGAAAAAGAGUAUCCUUUUGAAAAGUAUCUGGAACAAAAAUUUAAGGAGUUAUUCAACAGGAAUUCUGACUACUCUUGAUGGAAGGAGCUCAGCUGCCAGUACUUUUCAGGAAAGCAAGUCUAUUACCAUCCCGCAUAUCUUCACUACCCCUGUUCCUGCCUCUGAGCCUGCCAUGGAGUUUGCCCUGGAGUUGUCUUCCUGCUGCCUGAUGGUUCCUACGUCUUCCCUAAGACACCAGGCUAGUCAGACAGAAUGGACCUAUGAGGGAAAAUCUUCAAUAUCAAAACUGAAAACAGAUCAAGGAAUCUCAAUACUAUCCACUAUGAAGUCUGAUUUGGAAGUUGCCUCUGAAAUGGAGCAAGAUGAAGAUGAAGAUGGAGAUGAUGGACUCAGUGGAACAGUACUUUGACAGACUGACGUCACCAACCACCAGGAGCACAUACCCUUGCACCCUUAUGUCGGCCGCUGAAACUGACCCUUUCUUCCUACCGUAUCAGCACCCCCAAGUUGAAUUGUAG
ensembl:lncRNA